GACGUAGGGCGCGAGCGUUGUCCGGAUUUAUUGGGCGUAAAGAGCUCGUAGGUGGUUUGUUACGUCUGCUGUGAAAACCUAGGGCUUAACCCUGGGCUUGCAGUGGAUACGGGCAGACUAGAGGUAGGUAGGGGAGAAUGGAAUUCCUGGUGUAGCGGUGAAAUGCGCAGAUAUCAGGAGGAACACCGGUGGCGAAGGCGGGUCUCUGGGCCGUAACUGACGCUGAGGAGCGAAAGCGUGGGGAGCGAACAGG
rnacentral:rRNA from 1 species